rnacentral:rRNA from 1 species
GUAGUCAUACGCUCGUCUCAAAGAUUAAGCCAUGCAUGUGUAAGUAUAAAUAAUUCUACUUUGAAACUGCGAAUGGCUCAUUAUAUCAGUUAUAGUUUAUUAGAAAUAGUGUACUACUUGGAUAACCGUAGUAAUUCUAGGGCUAAUACAUGAGUAAAUCCUCGACUUUUGAAGAGGUGUGUUUAUUAGUAUGAAAACCAUAUGCUUUUGCAUGAUAGUGAGUAAUAAUAACCUUUCAUAUCGCCUGUUUUAAAUAGCGAUAGUUCUUUCAAGUUUCUGCCCUAUCAGCUUUCGAUGGUAGUGUAUUGGACUACCAUGGCAGUAACGGGUAACGAAGAAUUUGGGUUCGAUUUCGGAGAGGGAGCCUGAGAGAUGGCUACCACAUCCAAGGAAGGCAGCAGGCGCGUAAAUUACCCAAUCCUGACAUAGGGAGGUAGUGACAAUAAAUCACAAUGCGGGACUAUUUAGUUUUGCAAUUGAAUUGAGAACAAUGUACAAGAGUUAUCGAUAAACAAUUGGAGGGCAAGUCUGGUGCCAGCAGCCGCGGUAAUUCCAGCUCC